UACGUAGGGUGCAAGCGUUAUUCGGAAUUACUGGGCGUAAAGCGUGCGCAGGCGGCUAUGCAAGACAGAUGUGAAAUCCCCGGGCUCAACCUGGGAACUGCAUUUGAGACUGCAUGGCUAGAGUACGGCAGAGGGGGAUGGAAUUCCGCGUGUAGCAGUGAAAUGCGUAGAUAUGCGGAGGAACACCGAUGGCGAAGGCAAUCCCCUGGGCCUGUACUGACGCUCAUGCACGAAAGCGUGGGGAGCAAACAGG
rnacentral:rRNA from 1 species